AAACCCUGGCGGCCUUUAACAUUCUCCCUGACGCAGAGAACCCUGCGCCAACAGGGCCUUCCACUUCUGGAGAAUCGAAUGCUAUCCGGUCCCCAGCUUCCGUCUUCCAGACGAAGAAUCGAUGAGGAGGAGUAGGGGGCCCUGGCCAGGCCCGCAAGAAAGGGCCCAGUUAGGAGGGGCCUUAGAGCCACGAGGGUUCCACUGCUUUGAUGGCCACACUCUUUUGCAAACGGACACAAGACCUGAGCGCUUACUCACGUGGCUCCCCAAUCCUUUCCGAGUCCAUGUCCAAGACUGCCUCAGAGGGACCCCCAGGAGGCUCCGAUACAUCCUGCCUUCUGUCACCUCCACCGCCACCAGCGUUGUGAACCUCUGACCCUCGCGGCUCCGGGUCCAUUCUCAGGCUCCGCAGACAAACCCAAGCUCUGAGACAGACGCCCAGCGUCCCAGACCGCGCCUUCCUCUGGACCAUCCCGGCGGGCCUGGGUCCAGGGCCGGGUGACGAGACCACAGCCCCCCAUUGGUUCUCGCAGAAACCACGUGCUAACCCUGCACCUUCCUCCCCCAGCGCUUUCUUCUCUCGCCCGUCUAAUCCUCUUCAGUCCUCAGUCGCCUUCCUGGGAGGUUUGGUUCUUAUUGACAGUUCUCAAAAAUUAAGAAAACGUGGAGAGUGCUGUGUGCGGCUCGGAUCUUCGUCAAUACGGUACUAGCGGGAGCUUCCGAGGUCAACCUAGGGUCCACUGGGACCGUCCUGGAGGACGUGCGGGGAUAGGGGGUGGAGUCCUUUCUGUGCAACCCGAUCCCGUCCAUCCAGCCUGGUCUUAGCUCAACUCUGCAUUCUUACGGCAGAGGAAAGCUAGGACAGAGACAGCUGGGGGCCCGCGGGAUUUGAGAUGCCCACUGGGAUCUUGCCAGCGCAGAGGCCGGACCGCCUGUAUUGAGGUGGAAGCCUCUCUUCGAACCGAGUCCAGGUCUGCGGAGUCUCGACCCGCCACUUCCCAGGAGCAGUGUCUCAGCCUCAAGACCGAGAAAUGGGUGUAGGGGCUACAUCUAGGGAGCCCUCGGCCUUUUAGAGGGUGGGGGAGAAGGGAAGGCCAUCGCUGCGGCCCGUGCAAAGUGG